rnacentral:rRNA from 1 species
UACGUAGGGAGCAAGCGUUUGUCCGGAAUCAUUGGGCGUAAAGCGCGCGUAGGUGGCCCCAUAAGUCCGCUGUGAAAGUCAAAGGCUCAACCUUUGAAAGCCGGUGGAUACUGUGGGACUAGAGUACGGAAGAGGCGAGUUGGAAUUCCUGGUGUAGCGGUUGGAAUGCGCAGAUAUCAGGAGGAACACCAAUAGCGAAGGCAGCUCGCUGGGACGUUACUGACACUGGAGGCGACGAAAGCGUGGGGAGCGAACAGG